ACCCUUCCGGUUGCAGCCUGAGAAAUCAGGCUGAUGGCUGGUGACUUUUUAGUCACCAGCCU
rnacentral:sRNA from 23 species